UACGUAGGUGGCGAGCGUUGUCCGGAAUUACUGGGUGUAAAGCGCACGUAGGCGGAUCGUUAAGUCGGGGGUGAAAUCCUGGAGCUCAACUCCAGAACUGCCUUCGAUACUGGCGAUCUUGAGUCCGGAAGAGGUGAGUGGAACUCCUAGUGUAGAGGUGGAAUUCGUAGAUAUUAGGAAGAACACCUGUGGCGAAAGCGGCGCACUGGACCACAUCUGACGCUGAGGCGCGAAAGCUAGGGGAGCAAACAGG
rnacentral:rRNA from 1 species